AUGUAAAACCACCAUGGGUGGGUGUCAGAAUUAUUUUUGCAUCAUCAAUUUUAAAACGUUGAUUUACCUAGAUUAAAAAAAAAAAAUUAAUUUGUAAUACUUAAGCUCGGUAAACUUUAAGCGUUGUACGGGUGCGUAAAACACCGAAAAUCGUGAACUUCGUAAGGCUAUACCAUAAAAACCAAUGAUUUGCAGGUAGUCGAGUUUUGGACAAGUACCUACAUAGGUAACUUAUAAUAAUUCAUAUUGUAAAUUAAUUAGGUACCAAAAAAAUAUAACUUCUCAAACACUGUGCCUAUUGUCACUGGCGGGAGAAUGUAUUAGAAUGUCUAUAAACUUGCGGACCAGUUUGUAUAGUUAAAUUUGGCAUGCGAACUAUAAUUGAAAUAGAAAACCAGAAUAGGUGCAUUGCAGAUCACAAAGAUUUCUGUAAAAGAACAUACGAUUUAUAAAUAUACCGUAUAGGUAUACUGAGUACUUAUAUAAUAAUAUAUAAGUUCUUUGGAUUUAUCAUAGUAAAUAAUAUAUUUUAUAAUAUCUAUGGCAAUCGUCAAUUGUCGAAAUUCGUCGGCGACGGUUAACAAUUCAUUAAUAUAAACGGACAGUUCGUUAAACCGGAUAAGUUGUAACACAAUCUCGCAAAUUUCGUUUGAUCAGGUUAUUUUCAUAAAAUAUUUCGAUACUUUCAAGUUUCAGCUCAUCGGAGUGAGAUGAUUAGAUGAAGAUGGAUGAAUAUAGCUGUUUCUUCGGCGAUGGCGGCACUCUACCUACGUUUCACCGGAAGAGUAGAUUUUUACGAUUCUGGCUGUAUUCUGGAGAGUUUCCUCAUGGGCGUCGCAAUUCACACACGUCACGGAUUCCGCCGAAGGAGUCGAUAAUUAAAACUGAACUUUUGGAUCGGAGAUAUGAAGACGCCCGCUGAAUUUUGCUUGGCGGAGACGCACAGCUCUGACACUAGACAAUAUUAUUAUACACUCAAAGGGAACGCGUUUCGCC